AGCGAACGCUGGCGGCAGGCUUAACACAUGCAAGUCGAACGCCACGCAAGGGGAGUGGCAGACGGGUGAGUAACACGUGGGAACGUACCCUUUGGUUCGGAAUAACUUGGGGAAACUCAAGCUAAUACCGGAUAAGCUCUUCUGGGGAAAGGUUUACUGCCGAAGGAUCAGCCCGCGUCUGAUUAGCUAGUUGGUGAGGUAAUGGCUCACCAAGGCGACGAUCAGUAGCUGGUCUGAGAGGAUGAUCAGCCACACUGAGACUGAGACACGGCCCUGACUCCUUCGGGAGGCAGCAGUGGGGAAUAUUGGACAAUGGGGGCAACCCUGAUCCAGCCAUGCCGCGUGAGUGAUGAAGGCCUUAGGGUUGUAAAGCUCUUUUACCCGGGACGAUAAUGACUGUACCGGGAGAAUAAGCCCCGGCUAACUUCGCGCCAGCAGCCGCCGUAAUAC
rnacentral:rRNA from 1 species